rnacentral:rRNA from 1 species
AACGAACCGUGCGAACGUUAUUCGGAAUCACUGGGCUUAAAGCGCGUGUAGGCGGGACGGCACGUCGGUCGCUGAAAUCCCCCGGCUCAACCGGGGAACGGGCGCCGAUACGACCGCCCUGGAGGGACGUAGGGGGACCUGGAACUUCCGGUGGAGCGGUGAAAUGCGUUGAGAUCGGAAGGAACGCCCGUGGCGAAAGCGAGGUCCUGGACGUUUACUGACGCUGAGACGCGAAAGCCAGGGGAGCGAACGGG